GGCUGUAGCUCAAUGGUCGAGCAUCUGCUUUGGGUACAGAAGGUCCUAGGUUCAAUCCCCAGCAUUAGCCU